rnacentral:rRNA from 1 species
GAUGAACGCUAGCGGCAGGCCUAACACAUGCAAGUCGAGGGGCGGCACGUCUUCGGAUGGUGGCGACCGGCGCACGGGUGCGUAACGCGUAUGCAACCUACCUCUUACAGUGGGAUAGCCCAGAGAAAUUUGGAUUAAUACCGCAUAGUAUACAGAUUCAGCAUUGGGACUGUAUUAAACAUUUAUGGGUAAGAGAUGGGCAUGCGUUCUAUUAGUUAGUUGGAGUGGUAACGGCACCCCAAGACAGCGAUAGAUAGGGCCCGUGAGAGGGGAGUCCCCCACACUGGUACUGAGACACGGACCAGACUCCUACGGGAGGCAGCAGUGAGGAAGUAUUGGACGAAUGGACGAGAGCCUGAUCCAGCCAUGCCGCGUGCAGGAAGACGGCCCCUAUGGGUUGUAAACUAGC